GGGUCCGUAGCUCAGCCUGGUAGAGCACCUGACUUUUAAUCAGGUGGUCGCGAGUUCGAAUCUCGUCGGACCCG
rnacentral:tRNA from 1 species